GGGCGUGUGGUCUAGUGGUAUGAUUCUCGCUUUGCAUGCGAGAGGCCCUGGGUUCAAUUCCCAGCUCGCCCC